UACGUAGGGCGCAAGCGUUGUCCGGAAUUAUUGGGCGUAAAGAGCUCGUAGGCGGCUUGUCACGUCGGGUGUGAAAGCCCGGGGCUUAACCCCGGGUCUGCAUUCGAUACGGGCUAGCUAGAGUGUGGUAGGGGAGAUCGGAAUUCCUGGUGUAGCGGUGAAAUGCGUAGAUAUCGGGAGGAACACCUGAGGCGAAGGCGGGCUACUGGGACGAUACUGACGCUGAUGCGCGAAAGCCAGGGGAGCGAACGGG
rnacentral:rRNA from 1 species